rnacentral:lncRNA from 1 species
CUUAUUUAAGACAACACCACACAGCUCAGGAAUUUUAAUGAUUUUCUGAUGUGUUUUCCUUUAUGAAGUCUCUUUCUUGGGUACAGUUGUGCAGCCAAGCAGAAAACAGCCCGGGAAGGAGGACUAAUGUGACCAGGCUGCAGUGCAGGGGAAACAACACACAUCCUCAAAAGAGCAAGGGAAAAAAACAUAAUUUCUUUUGGGUUGGAAUACUAGCUGUCCAACAGCAGAGGUAAGAUGGUAUGACGUGUUCAAAUGGCACUACUAUGCUGGAAGCAACUUCCUAAUGUUAACUGACCUGCAGUAAAGCUUUGAGAAGGGCCUGAAUCUCUUCACACAAGACUAGGAAAAUCAGUCAGAGAAUGGGAGUUUCACAGUGUCAUGUAAAGCCUAUGAAAGUGACAGGCAAGAGGGGAAAUUGCCAUGGACUUAAAGUUUGACCUCUUUCAUCCCUUUUCUAACAAAACUUAGCAAUGCUGCCAGAGGAAAUGAAUCGACAGAACACAAUUUAUAAACACACAAGAUCAGACAAAACUGACAUUAAACAUUUACCAAGCUUUCAAAAUAGAAGCAG